rnacentral:rRNA from 1 species
GGCAGCAGCUAAGAAUAUUCCGCAAUGGACGAAAGUCUGACGGAGCGACGCCGCGUGGAUGAUGAAGGCCGGAAGGUUGUAAAAUCCUUUAGGUGCGAGGAAUAAGGGGAGUGAGAGAAACGCUUCCCGGUGACGGUAGCACCUGAAUAAGCAACGGCUAAUUACGUGCCAGCAGCCGCGGUAACACGUAAGUUGCGAGCGUUGUUCGGAAUUAUUGGGCGUAAAGGGUAUGUAGGCGGUUCUGCAAGUCUGGUGUGAAAUGCCGGGGCUCAACCCCGGAACUGCGUUGGAAACUGCAGGACUUGAAUCGCUGAGGGGCAGCCAGAAUUCCAGGCGUAGGGGUGAAAUCUGUAGAUAUCUGGAAGAAUACCAAUGGCGAAGGCAGGCUGCCAGCAGAUGAUUGACGCUGAGGUACGAAGGUGCGGGGAGCAAACAGGAUUAGAUACCCUGGUAGUCCGCACAGUCAACUAUGUACACUGGGUGUCCGUUCAUGAGAAUGGGUGCCGAAGCAAACGCGAUAAGUGUACCGCCUGGGGAGUAUGCCCGCAAGGGUGAAACUCAAAGGAAUUGACGG